CUCCUGGCCUAUAUGUAGCACAAGACUAUACAGAAAUGCAUGUUGGUCACCACCUUUCUAAAAGUAAUUUCCCAAGAAAAUGAAAGCUGAGGAAGAAAGGUGGUUAGUUGUGAUUAAUUGAUCGAAGUGAUGGUGAUAUCAAAGCCAUCCUUAAUGAGACACUUGCAAUUCAGAAGGGCCUUUUCAAUUCCCUCUCUUAUCUGCAAGAGAAGGCAGCCUCCCACUUCCAUGUUCUUCAAAGACUCAAAAGUCAACUUUUCUUUCUUCUGUGCUGAAAAACCAAAGGACCGUAGUAUACUUUCUCUAUAUAUCUUUGAUUCCUUCCUUCCUUCCAAUCACUCUCGAUCGACUUGCAUGGCUGCUGUUGAUACAGAUGAAUCUUUUCUUUUCCCCCUUCCCAAACAAGCUGUAGCGGAGCAUGCUCCUUUGUCCAUGGAUGCGGGAUAAGUGAUCGUUAUCGACAGUCUCAUCAAAGUCAUCCUCAAUACAUCCUUUGUUCAGAAAUCUAAUAUUCGGUCUACAUUACAUAAGGACAUCAAAACAACAUUUUGGUUAAGGAGCUAUAUAUGCGACUGAGUUUGAUUGGAUCCACUUCCCAUUUUAUUUGUGGCUUUAUUCUCUUGCAUUGUAAUGAUUGUUUUUCGAGUGCUUGUUGAGGGUACUGGCCUCCUCUUUUUGUAGUCCAUUUUUUUUUUUUUUUUUUUGUUUUGUUUUUUUGUUGGUAAUUGUUAAUUUGCCCCCAAAAGAAUCAAAUAUCAAGAAUUAGCCGUGUA